GAUGAACGCUGGCGGCGUGCCUAAUACAUGCAAGUCGAGCGAACGGACGAGAAGCUUGCUUCUCUGAUGUUAGCGGCGGACGGGUGAGUAACACGUGGAUAACCUACCUAUAAGACUGGGAUAACUUCGGGAAACCGGAGCUAAUACCGGAUAAUAUUUUGAACCGCAUGGUUCAAAAGUGAAAGACGGUCUUGCUGUCACUUAUAGAUGGAUCCGCGCUGCAUUAGCUAGUUGGUAAGGUAACGGCUUACCAAGGCAACGAUGCAUAGCCGACCUGAGAGGGUGGUCGGCCACACUGGAACUGAGACACGGUCCAGACUCCUACGGGAGGCAGCAGUAGGGAAUCUUCCGCAAUGGGCGAAAGCCUGACGGAGCAACGCCGCGUGAGUGAUGAAGGUCUUCGGAUCGUAAAACUCUGUUAUUAGGGAAGAACAUAUGUGUAAGUAACUGUGCACAUCUUGACGGUACCUAAUCAGAAAGCCACGGCUAACUACG
rnacentral:rRNA from 1 species